rnacentral:lncRNA from 1 species
CUCGGGCUCUUCAACCGGAUCGUUCUCUAUGCGAGCGCAAACGUACAUACAUACACACAUUUAAUACAAAAGAACAGUACAUCAUACAAUAGAAUGCAAUAAGUAAACAGACGUUCCACGCGGGCUCGCAAGUACGGUUAAGAGAGAAAGAGGAAAAGACAGUCGAGAAACGAUCACGUUACAUGAUUAUAAAUUAACCACUCGCUUAAUGGAAGGAAAUUUAAUGUAGACACUAUGUUUAGCGUAAAGUAAAGUCAUGUUUCAUGUCUAAUUAUUAUAAGCAGGUGGAGAUAAAUAAAAGGAUGGUCGCGCGGCGAGACGCGCGACAAAGCUCUCUAAAACAAAUUAAGAAGUUAACGACUCGUCGCGCGACUGAGCACGCAGCGAGACACUUCGCCUUAGUUAAGAGGAGACGUUAAGCGUCGCGCGACGAAGCGCACGACGGCAUACGUCGACUAAACUGAGUCCAAAGUGGAACGUCGCGUCAAUACACACGCGGCGUUACACCUUAAACAACCUGAAACAAAAAUGGAUCGUCGCGCGACGAAGCGCACGACGCAACACAAGAUAGAAUCUGAAUUUAGACAAAUUCGUCGCGCGGCGAAGCGCGCGACGCAACACGCUAAUUAACGAAUAAUCACCGCGAGCGCGGGCGAGCGAAGAUACGGUCGGGCGAGGCUGGGGCGGGGGAACGGGCGGCCGAGCUGGGGCCAGGGCGGUUGAACCGGCCAGGGGCAGCCGAGCCGGCCGGGGCCGCGCCGGGGACGCGCCGGGGGCCGGAGGCCGCGCCGGGGUCGCGCCGGCGAGCAGGGGCCACCGGGGCCGCGCUGCGCGCGAGCAGGGGAGGGGCGGGGGCGGGCGGGCGCCGCCACGGCCGGGACGGGCGGGCGCCGCCGCGGGGAGGGGCGGGCGGACGAGCGCCACGCGGGGCCGGGGGAAGGGGCCGAGCGCCGCCGCGCGGGACCGGGGAGGGGCGGGCAGGGGCGCCGCCGCGGGCCGGGGAGGGCGGGCGAGCGCCGCUGCGCGCGGGGGAGGGGCGGGCGAGCGCCGCCGCGGGCCAGGGGAGGGCGGGCGCCGCCGCGCGGGCCGGGGCAGGGGCGGGCGGGCGAGCGCCGCCGCGGGCCGAGCGGGGGGGGGGCGAGCGCCGCCGCGGGGUGGGGCGGACAGGGGCGCCGAGCGCCGCCGCGGGGGCGGGGACGGGGUCGGGCGCGGGCAGGGGGAGAGGGAGGGCGCGCGCGGGGGGGAAGAAGAAGAGGAAGAGGGAGAGAGAGGAGAAGGGGAGGGGAGGGGAGGGGAGCUCACCUCGGGGUCCAAAAUCCGGUGAUCGCCGUCUCCAAAUCCUAGGGCACCACAGGGAGAGAGAGGUGGAAGAAGGAGAGGAGAGGUUGUUUGCGCGGGAGAUCCAAAUGAGAGAGAGAGAGGGGAGGGGGGCGCAUGGGGGGGGGGUUUGGGCGCCAGGGGCGCGCAGGCCGGGGCGAGCCGGGUCGGCUGGGCUGGGCUGGACUAGGUUGGGCUGGGCCGGGCCACUUCGCGGAUCGAAAACCCACGACGAGCGCGGACCACUAAACGGAAUUAAAUCGCGAAUCGAAAUCCGGAACGGAACGAGACGAACACUCAUCAUCAGACAAAGAAAUGCGCUUCGGCAUGAUGCAACACCCAUGACACUUAGGUUUUGGUUUAUACAUGACACGGACACCUGCCGCUAUACUGGUUUGAAAUUGGGAAGAAAGAGCAAAAGGGGAAAGAGAAAAGAGAGUAACGCCCGAAUUUGGUGAGAGAAAAGAAGAAAAAAUUCUACCCCCAAAUUCAGGGCGUUACAGCAUGCACAUAAAAAGCAUCACAACACACUUACGAAACCUAUUGACUAAUUCAAUGGAAACACUACACAUGUCCUUUGCAUUCACCAACAAAAUCACACUUCGUAUACAUAGAACUUGUGUAAACAUACCCGACCAAUAAAUCUACCAAAAUAUUCUUCACAUAACCUAUAUUUCGCCCCACGAUAUAUCACGCGAUGCAACUAUUAUGGCAAGCAUCACUUUAUCAUAACAGAAAAAAUAACAAAACAACCCAACAGCACUUGUCGGCUAGUCGAUUGAGUACUAAUCUUAUCUAUCGCACCACUAGCACAAUGUACUUCGACGCACACACUCAUCCACCGACACGUCCUUCGCAUAAACCGACGUUUCUAACCCUACAAAUCACAUCAAUUCCACAACUUGUUUGUUUCUCCGAUUCACCUACACAUUCAUGCUACUUGCACGCAAAGCAAAAUUUUGCCAACACUUAAUAUGCAUCACUACAGAAUAGUUAACAAGAGCCAGAAAAACAUAGAGAAAACUUCUCACGCUUUUUAACUUACUUUCUUCUCCGACGAGGUUCUCCAAUCACACACUCGCGUGGCAUGGAUCACACAGCGUGGGUGGAAGCCACGGUGACGAUGCAACAAGGGCGGAACGGUUCAUGGGAAUGAUGAUAGGAAGGAGCUUGGUUUGCCAGGCUUGGUGCAAGAGAACAAGUCAACACGCUGAGAGGGGAAAAUCUCAGGGUGCAUGCAAGGGAGAUGGCCGACGGAGUCUACAACCGGAUGGACAUUAUGUCAAGCACAAAGCGC